AUUGAACGCUGGCGGAAUGCUUUACACAUGCAAGUCGAACGGCAGCACGGACUUCGGUCUGGUGGCGAGUGGCGAACGGGUGAGUAAUGUAUCGGAACGUGCCCAGUCGUGGGGGAUAACGUAGUGAAAAUUACGCUAAUACCGCAUACGAUCUAUGGAUGAAAGCGGGGGAUCGCAAGACCUCGCGCGAUUGGAGCGGCCGAUAUCAGAUUAGGUAGUUGGUGGGGUAAAGGCCCACCAAGCCAACGAUCUGUAGCUGGUCUGAGAGGACGACCAGCCACACUGGAACUGGGACAAGGUCCAGACUCCUACGGGAGGCAGCAGUGGGGAAUUUUGGACAAUGGGCGAAAGCCUGAUCCAGCCAUUCCGCGUGCAGGAUGAAGGCCCUCGGGUUGUAAACUGCUUUUGUACAGAACGAAAAGGUUUCUACUAAUACUAGGAGCUCAUGACGGUACUGUAAGAAUAAGCACCGGCUAACUACGUGCCAGCAGCCGCCGCGG
rnacentral:rRNA from 1 species